GUACUGCUGAAGAGUGCCAAAUGAGGACGGAUGAAACAGCUGUCUAGUAC
rnacentral:hammerhead_ribozyme from 1 species